UGGGGAAUAUUGCACAAUGGGCGCAAGCCUGAUGCAGCCAUGCCGCGUGUGUGAAGAAGGCCUUCGGGUUGUAAAGCACUUUCAGCGAGGAGGAAGGUGGUGAACUUAAUACGUUCAUCAAUUGACGUUACUCGCAGAAGAAGCACCGGCUAACUCCGUGCCAGCAGCCGCGGUAAUACGGAGGGUGCAAGCGUUAAUCGGAAUUACUGGGCGUAAAGCGCACGCAGGCGGUUUGUUAAGUCAGAUGUGAAAUCCCCGGGCUCAACCUGGGAACUGCAUUUGAAACUGGCAAGCUAGAGUCUCGUAGAGGGGGGUAGAAUUCCAGGUGUAGCGGUGAAAUGCGUAGAGAUCUGGAGGAAUACCGGUGGCGAAGGCGGCCCCCUGGACGAAGACUGACGCUCAGGUGCGAAAGCGUGGGGCAGCAAACAGGAUUAGAUACCCUGGUAGUCCACGCUGUAAACGAUGUCGAUUUUGGAGGUUGUGCCCUUGAGGCGUGGNUUCCGGAGCUAACGCGUUAAAUCGACCGCC
rnacentral:rRNA from 1 species